CGGCGGACGGGUGAGUAGCGCGUGGGUAACCUGCCUCAUACAGGGGGAUAACAGUUAGAAAUGACUGCUAAUACCGCAUAAGACCACGGUACCGCAUGGUACAGUGAUAAAAACUCCGGUGGUAUGAGAUGGACCCGCGUCUGAUUAGGUAGUUGGUGGGGUAACGGCCUACCAAGCCGACGAUCAGUAGCCGACCUGAGAGGGUGACCGGCCACAUUGGGACUGAGACACGGCCCAG
rnacentral:rRNA from 1 species